rnacentral:sRNA from 1 species
UAUCAACUGAUUAAAACUAACUGCAAAUCAAGUUAAACCUUGCUAACUCAAAUAGUACUUCAUCCACCCAAUGUACUGACCAGAUAAUCUUCCAAACUCAAAUAACCGUUAUGUGUGCUUAUUUUGAAUUGAUUUUGCAAAAUAUUUAAAAAUCAACUCAAUUUUAGUCCCAAGAACGAAUUUCUACAAUGGCAGACACUAAAUCACAUCUAUAUUUUGGAUAUGUAGGACUAUUCUAUUUAUUACACAUUCAUAAAAAGUUUUAAUGAAGGAAAUAUAACCUCGUGGGAGAUUUCAUACGGAAAACGCAUCAUCUAUCACGUCACAGGGAUGCAAACAAGGCAUAUUUUCUUAAGCGAACAAACACAAUAUUUUAUGCUUGUAAACUAUGUAUGGCUGUUUGGAACAUUCUCAUCAAGGGUCCUCACUAAUGUUCAUGCAGAAUACGGAAUUCUAAGGGCCAUCCUUUGAGCAAGCCAAGGUUUCUCUGGUUCUGGAUCGAUGAAAGGAUGCGUGACGAACUGCUUAGCUUCUUCAUCCAACAAUUCUCUACACCAUGUUACUCGCUUCGAUGGACAGCAACCAGGUCCAAAACACCUACAGUUAUGAUAAAAUUACUUCAGACUUCAACUCAGCAAGCACAUUUUGCAUUUAAGAAUUCUAGAGCUGUUUGAUACGCUGCAAAGCAUAAACAAUGUAAAAUGGAAUGUGACAUGAGCUACCUGUAUUCAUAAAAGCAAGCACUUCUCUCGUUCUCCAUGUUCCCCCAGUUAUCCCAGCCAACAUGUCUUAUACACUGAUCCAUGUAAGUGUAUGCAAAGACCACCCUUCCAAAAGGGCCCCACGGUCGUCCAAGAUAUGCAUACGAUUUUCCUCCAUUACCCGUGAUAAUGCAUCU